rnacentral:tRNA from 3 species
GGCCCCGUCGUCUAGAGGUUAGGACACUGGCCUUUCAAGCCGGCAGCACGGGUUCGAUUCCCGUCGGGGUCA